GGGGGGGUAUUGAUAAGCCAUAUCAAGUCUACACAAGAAGAUCCAAGCCGCACGUGUGAAGAGAAGAGAACAAGAAGAAGACACGUGCGAAUAAACAUUUGUAUAUAAACUUUGUAGCUUUCAGAAGAAGUUUUCAUGUUUUGUUUUGUUGUGCAUUUGACGUAUGUGUCAUCUGUGAGAGAUAAAGUGAUGAUCUAGAGAUGUUCUAGAGCACUUCUCUCAAACAAUUUGUAUCGAUUCUUUGUUUGUUAAUAAAGAUUACAUCUUGUUUCUAUCAAUUUACUCCCAGCUAGCUUCUGUUUUUUCAUUCUAGAGUCCAUGUCAUCAUCAAUAGCAUUCUUCUGAUGUUUCCCUUUCUUGCUUUUCAUCCGUUCCUCAUAGGUUAUCAAAGCACAUGCCACAGAACUCGAA